UACGUAGGGUCCGAGCGUUGUCCGGAAUUAUUGGGCGUAAAGAGCUCGUAGGCGGUUUGUCGCGUCUGCUGUGAAAUCCCGAGGCUCAACCUCGGGUCUGCAGUGGGUACGGGCAGACUGGAGUGCGGUAGGGGAGAAUGGAAUUCCUGGUGUAGCGGUGGAAUGCGCAGAUAUCAGGAGGAACACCGAUGGCGAAGGCGGUUCUCUGGGCAUUACCUGACGCUGAGGAGCGAAAGUGUGGGGAGCGAACAGG
rnacentral:rRNA from 1 species